rnacentral:rRNA from 1 species
GGUGAACGUUGGCGGUGCGUCUAAUACAUGCAAGUCGAGCGAGGCUUCGAGCCGAGCGGCAAACGGCUGAGUAACACGUUGGUAACUACCUCAAACUCAGGGAUCACGCCGAGAAAUCGGUGCUAAUACCGGAUGGUCCCGUAAGGGUAAAGUUUUUACGGUUUGAGAGGUGCCUGCGUCCUAUCAGGUAGUUGGUGAGGUAACGGCUCACCAAGCCUAUGACGGGUAACUGGUCUGAGAGGAUGACCAGUCAGAGAGAAACUGAGACACGGUUCCCACUUCUACGGAAGGCAGCAGUAAAGAAUCUUCCACAAUGGACGAAAGUCUGAUGGAGCGACACCGCGUGCAGGAUGAAGGCCCUUGGGUCGUAAACUGCUUUUUUGGGGGAAAAAUUCUGAUUGUACCCUAAGAAUAAGCACCGGCAAAUCACGUG